UUGCUUCAGCAGCACAUAUACUAAAAACUGGAAUGAUAUAGAGGAGAUUAGCCUGGCCUCUGCACAAGAAUUACAUGGAAAAUUGUGAAGCAUUCCAUAUUUCA